rnacentral:lncRNA from 1 species
GAUGGUGGAUGCAUUUAUGGCUGUCAGACCACUUCCCCACAUGUUUGACUGAAGAAGUGGCCUCCUCAUAAACUCAUUGCUUGAAGGGCUUAGUGGAUACAUUUCUCAACUUGAAGUUGAGUUUUCUGCAGCCAUUCCUGUACUACAAAAUAUAAAUAUGCAACUCAAUGGACACAGUUGCCCUUGGUGUAAACCUAUUGUUAUGAAUGAUGAUUCCUUCUUCCAUAUUUUUAUUUGAUUAUCAACACUGUAAUUCUAGCAUAUGGGUACAAUCUAGUCUGGUGACGAUGACAUUAAUCAAUAAGGAUUCAUGUGAUGUAUUCUAUAGCUCGGUAAUACAUGUUGAUAUUUGUUUAUUGCUAUAAAACAACUAUUUUUCUUUAUUAUAUUUUAGUCAUAGCUGCUUGUAUGCUUGGUUUACCUUUUUCGUACAUCAUCAUCUCUUUAACAUUAACAGGCUUGAAGCCUGUAUUCAUUUACCAUUUUUGUAGUCCACGACUUAAAUAAACCCCUUUUUCCAUAAUUCUUUCAUAUGGUGGAUGCAUUUAUGGCUGGCAGAACACUUUCCCACAAGUUUUACUGAAGAAGUGGGCUCACAAAAUCAAUUCUUUUGGCUUUACAGGAGUGGAUAUAUUUCUCAACUUAAAGUUGAGUUUUCUGCAGCCAUUCCUGUACUACUACGAUUUUGUUAUAGGAAUUGCAAUUGUCAAAAUUUCUUGUUUUUUAAUCAACAUCUAAUGAUCCAAGUUUAUUUAAGAAGCUCAGUUUUUGUUUUAAGGUUAAGGGUUUGAGUCUUAUAUUUUCAUUUGACAAGUGUGCUAG